rnacentral:lncRNA from 10 species
GGACCAAAGGUCUGAAACACUGAUGAAGCCCAGGCACUGCAUUUGCGGAAGGUUUUCCAACAGAAUCACAGCAUUGGUCUGGUCUCAGAGAAGCAAAAUGGGCUAGAGCUGAACUCCCAGCAGGAGAAAGGUCUUCUUCGGCCCUCCUUCCUGUGCUCCAGGAGAAGUCAUAGUAACUUGUUCAGGUGAACUAGACCCUUGGAGCCUCCAUUUCCUCCUCUCUGAAAUAGGAACAGGCACGCUUCCCUUGCCUGACUCACGGAGUCUCUGUGGGAAUAAAGUCAGAGCAUCAUCUACAUCGUCAUGUGCUGCAUGAAAACGUGGAGGCCAUUGUUCUUACUCAAUUAGUGGAAAUGUAACUUAUUUCCCAGACUAUGGGGAACACAUAUUAAAAGAAAGAAG